rnacentral:snRNA from 1 species
UAAAACGCUCACUUCAGCCCGAUAAAAUUGAAACGGUGCAGAAAAGAUUAGCAUGGCUCCUGUCCUAGGAUGACAUGCUCAAAUCGAGAAAUGGUCCAAGAAUUU